GACUAAAUAGCUCAGUUGGUAGAGCGCACAUCUCUGAACAAUAACCUAGUGCAAAAGGUUGUGGGUUCGAUUCCCACCUCUGCCA
rnacentral:tRNA from 1 species